rnacentral:rRNA from 1 species
CUGAGAGGAGGUGCAUGGCCGUCGUCAGUUCGUACUGUGAAGCAUCCUGUUAAGUCAGGCAACGAGCGAGACCCACGCCAACAGUUGCCAGCUCGUCCUCCGAGAUGGUGGGGACACUGUUGGGACCGCCUCUGCUAAAGAGGAGGAAGGAAUGGGCAACGGUAGGUCAGCAUGCCCCGAAUUAUCUGGGCUACACGCGGGCUACAAUGGGUGGGACAAUGGGUAUCGACACCGAAAGGUGAAGGCAAUCUCCUAAACCCAUCCGUAGUUCGGAUUGUGGGCUGCAACUCGCCCACAUGAAGCUGGAAUCUGUAGUAAUCGUGUCUCAAAAUGGCACGGUGAAUAUGUCCCUGCUCCUU